CCCGGGGAGCGGGGCUCGGCGGCUAGCUCCGCUGACCCUGUGGUCGUUUUCCUGGAGAUUGCGACCUAGGAAGUCGUCGAGGAGCCUGUGCUGCCCACCUCGGGGCCCUUCGAUCGGCCGCUCCUGUGCAGACUUUCAGUUAGAGAUGAAGCCAACCUAUUGGCGGUUGCCAUAACAACGGUGGCCGAACCAGACCAGCCCGGGCCGCACCUCCGCCUCGCUGAGCUUUGGAAGCGACCUUGGGCUCCGGGGACCCCUGAUCUCAGGGUCGGGGGAUAAGCUGUGUCAGCCGCACGGUGUCGGGCCACUGAUUGAACUGAUUUCACUGAGCGUUGACUCGGAGGAAAAUAUCUAAAAAUUCCCGGCUCGCCGUAGGGGUCCUGUGGUUUUCUAGGCGCUUCACACUCAAAUACAAGCGAAAUGGUUGCAAUAAUACGAUUGAUUGAGCCCUUAUGAGGCAAUUUGUUAGGCCUUUUGUUGUAUUUAAUUUUUGGAACAAUUUGAUGAGCUAGGAGGUACGUAUUAUCAUUAUUCCUACUUUACAGGUAAGCAAACUGAGGCUCUGAGAAAUAAGUCAUUUGCUCCAGGUUGAGCUGGGAAUCACACGGAAGCUCUUAACUCCUGUGUUCUGUUGCCUCAUGCUAUUUCAUCCAACCCCAAGUCUGGGUCUUAACAUUUUUCUCUUAAUUCUGUAUGGAAACUUUCUUUGCUUCUUUCAGAAAUUAUAGGAACUUCUUUUUUUUGAGACGGAGUCUAGCUCUUGUCACCCAGGCUGGAGUGCAAUGGCACGAUCUCAGCUCACUGCAACCUCCGCCUUCUGGGUUCAAGCGAUUCUCCUGCCUCAGCCUCUGGAGUAACUAGAAUUACAGGCCUGCGCCACCACGCCCGGCUAAUUUUUGUAUUUUUAGUAGACACGGGGUUUCUCCCAUGUUGGCCAGGCUGGUCUCGAACUCCUGACCUCAAGUUAUCCUCCCGCCUCGGCCUCCCAAAGUGCUGGGAUUACAGGCGUGAGUCACUGCGCCCAACCUGCUUUGGAGUACUUUUUAUCUUUUAAAGUUAAGUGGCAUCUUUGAAAAUCUCUGGUUUUAAAUUUGAAUAUAAUACUGUACUAAAAACGAAAUGAGGCCUGGCAGGGUGGUGAUUCGCGCCUGAAUCCCAGCACUUUGGAACGCCGAGGCGGGCGGAUCACUUGAAAGUCAGUUGUUCGGGACCAGCCUGGGCAACAUGGCAAAACCUCGUCUCUACUAAAAAUACAAAAAUUAGCGGGGCAUCACGGCCGCGCGCCUGUAGUCCCAGCUACUGGGGAGGCUGAGGCAGGAGAAGCACUUGAACCUGGGAGGCAGAGGUUUCAGUAAGCCAAGAUCAUGCCACUGCACUCCAGCCUGGGUGACAGAGUGAGACUCUGUCUCAAUAAAAAAAAAAUCAGGUAAGAAUCUUAAUCCCAUUUUAUAAUACAAUAGUGAUGAAACAUUAAAAUAGUUUUAAAUAGGAGACUUUUGUCUUAGUUUCUGGACAACAGUUUUAUAAGGGCUUAAAACUGGGUUCAUAGCAUUCCUUGCUUCUCUAUACUUGGGUAUUAUCAUGUGACCUACAUAGGGUCAUACCAGUGCUGUCUGUCCAGGGGUUUAAGAGGAUAUCUUCUUCUUUCACAUAUUUGAAAGCUGUAUUGUGCCAGUCAUUAUUUUGGAAUUGAGAGGAAUAAGAAUGAGGGAAAACUGACUACAAAGACAUUGUUGAGCAUUUUCUCUACAGUUACUUCUUAAAUUCUAGAAAACUGCUGCCUUGACAAUUACAUUUAGCCAUGUGAUUUCAUAGUUUCAAGAAAAGAUUAUUUGCAUAAUCAUGAUGCUGUAACUGGAAACAAACAGGCUGAGUAACAGAACAAGUUAUGCCUGCUUCUCCUGGCAACAUUUUC
rnacentral:lncRNA from 1 species